UACGGAGGAUGCAAGCGUUAUCCGGAAUGAUUGGGCGUAAAGCGUCCGCAGGUGGCUGUGUAAGUCUGCUGUUAAAGAGUGAGGCUCAACCUCAUAAAAGCAGUGGAAACUACACGGCUAGAGUGCGUUCGGGGCGGAGGGAAUUCCUGGUGUAGCGGUGAAAUGCGUAGAUAUCAGGAGGAACACCGGUGGCGAAGGCGGCGACCUGGACCGAAGCUGACGCUGAGGCGCGAAAGCGUGGGGAGCGAUCCGG
rnacentral:rRNA from 1 species